rnacentral:rRNA from 2 species
CAUGCGGGGCGGCUAUAGCAUGCUAGUCGAGCGAUCGAUGGGAGCUUGCUCCCUGAGGUUAGCGGCGGACGGGUGAGUAACACGUGGGCAACCUGCCUAUAAGACUGGGAUAACUUCGGGAAACCGGAGCUAAUACCGGAUACGUUCUUUUCUCGCAUGAGAGAAGAUGGAAAGACGGUUUACGCUGUCACUUAUAGAUGGGCCCGCGGCGCAUUAGCUAGUUGGUGAGGUAAUGGCUCACCAAGGCGACGAUGCGUAGCCGACCUGAGAGGGUGAUCGGCCACACUGGGACUGAGACACGGCCCAGACUCCUACGGGAGGCAGCAGUAGGGAAUCUUCCGCAAUGGACGAAAGUCUGACGGAGCAACGCCGCGUGAACGAAGAAGGCCUUCGGGUCGUAAAGUUCUGUUGUUAGGGAAGAACAAGUACCAGAGUAACUGCUGGUACCUUGACGGUACCUAACCAGAAAGCCACGGCUAACUACGUGCCAGCAGCCGCGGUAAUACGUAGGUGGCAAGCGUUGUCCGGAAUUAUUGGGCGUAAAGCGCGCGCAGGUGGUUCCUUAAGUCUGAUGUGAAAGCCCACGGCUCAACCGUGGAGGGUCAUUGGAAACUGGGGAACUUGAGUGCAGAAGAGGAAAGUGGAAUUCCAAGUGUAGCGGUGAAAUGCGUAGAGAUUUGGAGGAACACCAGUGGCGAAGGCGACUUUCUGGUCUGUA